rnacentral:misc_RNA from 1 species
AAAAUGUCUGACUCCCACCAGCCAGUGACUACGGUAUCUUCCAUUGUGGCUCCUUUUCAAGGUGGAGGAAGUGUGCAACAAAGCCACUCAGCAGCUGCUAACAAAACAGAUGUAGCCGCCAGCACAAGUACUGCUAUAGCUGUUCCCGGUGGGUCGGGCACCAGGAGCACCGCUGCGGCGGCUAGCGGUGGAAAUGUGGUUGCAAUACAUACAACCGCAACAGAAAAAGAUACAUCAACAAGAGUCACCAUUGACGAGGAUCCACGUGCUAAACUAAUGUUUUAUCUUGACUGUAUUUCAUGCGUGUUUGGCGAUUUUUACACAUUGUGUAUGGAAAUUUUAAACGAACAGUCAAUUUCAAAUAUUGAUUGUCUACUUGAAUUCAAAAAUUUACCGCGCAUUAACUGUAAAACGAUGUGAUGAAAUUUUAAUUCUCUGUGAUGUUCUGCGUCCCAGUUUGUUUAACAACAAAUGCAUAUUUGCAAAUGCACAAAAGUGUGGAAAUCUCACCAAUAGAUUUUUCAAAAUGGAAGAUGUUGAAAAGUCACUGGCCAUUCAGAACGAAAUAAUCGUGAGAGGGGAAAAACGCCAAGUGAAGAAGAUCAUGUAUUACGAUACAUCAUAUUUGGAAAAGAAUUAUUUCAAGCCUAUGCGAUGUUUGGAAUAUCGCUUGAAAGCCAUUAGAAAAGGACGAGAUUUAGAUUCCGAAACGUUUACAGAAAACUACAAGAUUCACCUGUUGUUAACUAUUAUUUUUCCGUUCUGGGUCGUUGUUUGGGUCGCCAUGUGUUUACAAGAGGGUGAUCCAAGCGAAAUGCCUGAAGAGCAAACAGAACCAUAAAAGACGACAAAAACUACAGGCUGAUAAAGGGGUGAACUUUUAAAGACUUUGAUAAACACCUUGUUAAUUUUUAUGAUAGCUCAAAUAUCUAAUAAUCAUUUUUUCUAAAUUCCGAAAUGUUGUUUUGCAAUUAACCAUGUAGAAAUUUUGAUUGAUUUUAGUAUUUAUAAUUUGAUUUUUAAGUGUCAAUCAUAUAUUGCAACCAGCGAGUAUAUUUACAUUGUAUUUACUUUUGGUUGUUCAAAGUUUUUUUCUGGUUUUAUUAAACAUUUGGUUUUGUG